GAAGCCUAGGCUAUGGGGUGUGCUGAGAUCUGGCUAGGCACCCAGGGAGAUUGCAGCCUCUAAGGGCUGCACUGCCCAAAGGACCUGCAGACUCUGAGGAUACUACAAAGGCAGGAGUCAAGGGAGUACAGCAUAGCCAACUGAUACCAAGUGAUCAAUCGUCUAACAUUAUCAGUCAAGGACAGAUCCCUUAUUCCAUUGCCAGGGCAACAUUUUUCUACCACAUUGCUCAGACCUGUUUCUGUACCAUGAGGCUGUCUGAUUCCAGACUGAAAGACAAGCAGCCUCUGGCAAUGUGGCCUAGAUGGUCGCCCCUCCAUAUCUGCUGAAUGUCUGACCUUGAUCAGGAGGAGAAAGAAGCAUACUGGGAAGGAUAUGUAAUCAGAGACUCUCUGAUCCUUUAUGGUCUUGGACCAUGAACAGAGGGGUUGGAGGGACUAUGUGACCAUGACCAUAGAGAAGGUUCAAAAAUGAAGAGUGGUUACCAAAGGAAAGGGAUCAAGAAGCACUGUGAAAAAUGCACCAGAACAUCGUGGGUUUGCUCAGAUGUUGCAGAACAUUACUGACCUAUGUGCCCAAAGAGCCCGGACUCAGCAGUGUAUCCAAUUCUUGGAAAACUCCAUGAUUGGUGCUUCCUGUAGUCCUCCCCACCAACAUAUCAGGUGGCAGCACUUACCUCUACCACUCCAUGCCUGGAGAAAACAAGGAGAAACAUAGCUACCAAUAUAUUGGUCUAUGAAAAUCACAGAAUUAGCCACAGCUUACUACACUGUAGUAAGUGUUACA